rnacentral:rRNA from 1 species
CCUACGGGGGGCUGCAGUAGGGAAUCUUCCACAAUGAGCGAAAGCCUGAUGGAGCAACGCCGCGUGUGUGAUGAAGGCUUUCGGGUCGUAAAGCACUGUUGUAUGGGAAGAACAGCUAGAAUAGGAAAUGAUUUUAGUUUGACGGUACCAUACCAGAAAGGGACGGAUAAAUACGUGCCAGCAACCGCGGUAAUAAGUAUGUCCCGAGCGUUACCCGGAUUUAUUGGGCGUAAAGCGAGCGUAGACGGCUUAGUAAUUCUGAUGAGAAAGCCCGGAGCUCAACUCCGGAAGGGCAUUGGAAACUGGUUAACUUGAUUGCAGUAGAGGUAAGUGAAACUCCAUGUGUAGCGGUGGAAUGCGUAGAUAUAUGGAAGAACACCAGUGGCGAAGGCGGCUUACUGGACUGCAACUGACGUUGAGGCUCGAAAGUGUGGGUAGCAAACAGGAUUAGAUACCCGGGUAGUC